rnacentral:rRNA from 1 species
GGACCGGUAAAAGCCGGAGGAAGGUGAGGAUGAUGUCAAGUCAGCAUGACCUUUAUAUCCAGGGCUACACACACGCUACAAUGGUCUGUACAAUGGGUAGCCAAGCCGCGAGGCGGAGCCAAUCCUGAAAGCAGGCCUCAGUUCAGAUUGCAGUCUGCAACUCGACUGCAUGAAGCCGGAGUUGCUAGUAACCGCAGGUCAGCAAUACUGCGGUGAAUACGUUCCCGGGUCUU